rnacentral:lncRNA from 14 species
GUCUUUCUGUGUCCAGGUUCGGCUCCUGGUUUGCUGUGGAGCAGCGGAGGUGACGGGGGGGCAGUGCCAGCUCCUGGAUACCCUGGGGUCGUGGGCUUGGCGGGGAUACUGCUGUUACCGACCCGGCUGGGGACGUGUCGGCAGGGCCGUGUCGGCGGGUCUGGGUGAGCCCUCCUUGGAGCCAGGGGGCAGUGGGUGGGAGCGCCGCUGAGGGACCGGCUGCCGCUGAGGUACUACCGGCUGCUGCUGAGGUACAGGCGCUGAGGACUGGCUGCUGAGGUACCGGCUGUCUCUGAGGUACAGACGCUGGGGACUGGCCGCUGAAGUACCGGCUGGCGGGGAAGGUGGGAGCAGCGAGAGGUGUACGCGGCUGGAGAGCGGUGCUCUGUGGUGGCCGGCCUCUCUGUGAAACCUGCAGGAAGGCGAAAGGGAGGGUGCCGUUGACCGAAGGCUUAAGGAUGUAAUGGUGUCCUCUUGAUAAAAGAUGUUCCAAGGCGCUUCUAGAUGAAGCCGACUUAAUUCACUCAACUAAUGCUUCCCUUGUGUCUCCAGUUGGUUGCUGAAAAGUACCGUGUAAGAGGGAGCUGGAUUCAUAUUGGUAUUGUUUUCUCAUUGUAUGCAGUGAACCAGUUUUGCAGGAUGAAUGCUGUGACUGAAGAAGUUAAGCCAGAAGAUCACAAACUGGAAUCUGAGAAAAAGAUAUUUUACAGUGAAGUUUGUAAAGUUCCAUGUAUGAGUUCUAUAAGUCUUCAGUCACACUAUCGUGGUGCAAAGCAUAGAAAGAAAGAGAAAGCCUUGAGACCCAACACUGUCUAUUGUCUUUCUGCUCCAGUCCGAACUUCAGUGAAGUAUGAAACACAGAGACCAGGUAAAUACAUGUAAAUAAGCUAAUGUCCUUUUUUCAAGUGUAACUUUGAAACCAGUGGGUUUUGUUUUAAAGAUGACCACAGCAGGUGGCUGAUUGUGGUUUUGGAAGAAGCAAUCCUUGUUACCAGAUAUUUGGACCAUUGAUUUUCAUCUGUG